GACGAACGCUGGCGGCGUGCUUAACACAUGCAAGUCGAGCGGUAAGGCCCUUUCGGGGGUACACGAGCGGCGAACGGGUGAGUAACACGUGGGUGACCUGCCCUCAGCUCUGGGAUAAGCCUGGGAAACCGGGUCUAAUACCGGAUAUGACUCCAUGACGCAUGUUGUGGGGUGGAAAGCCUUGUGCGGCUGAGGAUGGGCCCGCGGCCUAUCAGCUUGUUGGUGGGGGAUGGCCUACCAAGGCGACGACGGGUAGCCGGCCUGAGAGGGCGACCGGCCACACUGGGACUGAGACAUGGCCCAGACUCCUACGGGAGGCAGCAGUGGGGAAUCUUGCGCAAUGGGCGAAAGCCUGACGCAGCGACGCCGCGUGA
rnacentral:rRNA from 1 species